rnacentral:rRNA from 1 species
GCCGCGGGAUUAGAGUUUGAUCCUGGCUCAGGACGAACGCUGGCGGCGUGCUUAACACAUGCAAGUCGAGCGGAAAGGCCCCUCGGGGUACUCGAGCGGCGAACGGGUGAGUAACACGUGAGCAAUCUGCCCCUAGCUCUGGGAUAGCUCCGGGAAACCGGGAUUAAUACCAGAUACGACCACUUUAGACAUCUGCUGUGGUGGAAAGAAUUUCGGCUAGGGAUGAGCUCGCGGCCUAUCAGCUUGUUGGUGGGGUAACGGCCUACCAAGGCGACGACGGGUAGCCGGCCUGAGAGGGCGACCGGCCACACUGGGACUGAGACACGGCCCAGACUCCUACGGGAGGCAGCAGUGGGGAAUAUUGCGCAAUGGGCGAAAGCCUGACGCAGCGACGCCGCGUGGGGGAUGAAGGCCUUCGGGUUGUAAACCCCUUUCAGCAGGGACGAAGCGAAAGUGACGGUACCUGCAGAAGAAGCGCCGGCUAACUACGUGCCAGCAGCCGCGGUAACACGUAGGGCGCAAGCGUUGUCCGGAAUUAUUGGGCGUAAAGAGCUCGUAGGCGGUCUGUUGCGUCCGCUGUGAAAUCUCGGGGCUUAACCCCGAGCCUGCAGUGGAUACGGGCAGACUAGAGGUAGGUA